UUCUAGAGGUUAAGCCCGAUGAACCUGAAUAUCCGUUAUGCGAGAUUAUUCAUCAUUAAAAUUGUAAUAUUUAAAUAAUAUUAUUAAGAAUAAUGUGCAUUUUUUCCAUAUAAGGACAUUGUAAUCUAUUAGCAUAUCCCAAAUUUAUCAUAAAAUAUAACUUAUAGUUUAUUCCAAUUAAAUUGCUUGCAUUUUAACACAGAAUAAAUGUUAUUAAUUUGAUAAAGUGCUGAUAGAUUUAUAUUAUUACAGAGCGUUAAUUUUUCGGAAUUAUAUAAUGGCAUAAUUAUCAUUGAUUUUUGUGUUUAUUAUAUGCUCUUGUAUGAUUAACAAUGCGAAAGAUUCAGGAUACCUUCGGGACCCGUCUUGAAACACGGACCAAGGAGUCUAACAUAUGUGCAAGUUAUUGGGAUGUAAACCUAAUAGCGUAAUUAACUUGACUAAUAAUGGGAUUAGUUUUUUAGCUAUUUAUAGCUAAUUAACACAAUCCCGGGGCGUUCUAUAUAGUUAUGUAUAAUGUAUAUUUAUAUUAUUUAUGCCUCUAACUGGAACGUACCUUGAGCAUAUAUGCUGUGACCCGAAAGAUGGUGAACUAUACUUGAUCAGGUUGAAGUCAGGGGAAACCCUGAUGGAAGACCGAAACAGUUCUGACGUGCAAAUCGAUUGUCAGAAUUGAGUAUAGGGGCGAAAGACCAAUCGAACCAUCUAGUAGCUGGUUCCUUCCGAAGUUUCCCUCAAGAUAGCUGGUGCAUUUUAAUAUUAUAUAAAAUAAUCUUAUCUGGUAAAGCGAAUGAUUAGAGGCCUUAGGGUCGAAACGAUCUUAACCUAUUCUCAAACUUUAAAUGGGUAAGAACCUUAACUUUCUUGAUAUGAAGUUCAAGGUUAUGAUAUAAAUGUGCCCAGUGGGCCACUUUUGGUAAGCAGAACUGGCGCUGUGGGAUGAACCAAGCGUAAUGUUACGGUGCCCAAAUUAACAACUCAUGCAGAUACCAUGAAAGGCGUUGGUUGCUUAAAACAGCAGGACGGUGAUCAUGGACAGUCGAAAUCCGCUAAGGAGUGUGUAACAACUCACCUGCCGAAGCACCUAGCCCUUAAAAUGGAUGGCGCUUAAGUUGUAUACCUAUACAUUACCGCUAAAGUAGAUGAAUUAUAUUACUUGUGAUAUAAAUUUUGAAACUUUAGUGAGUAGGAAGGUACAAUGGUAUGCGUAGAAGUGUUUGGCGUAAGCCUGCAUGGAGCUGCCAUUGGUACAGAUCUUGGUGGUAGUAGCAAAUAAUCGAAUGAGACCUUGGAGGACUGAAGUGGAGAAGGGUUUCGUGUGAACAGUGGUUGAUCACGAGUUAGUCGGUCCUAAGUUCAAGGCGAAAGCCGAAAAUUUUCAAGUAAAACAAAAAUGCCUAACUAUAUAAACAAAGCGAAUAUAAUACACUUGAAUAAUUUUGAACGAAAGGGAAUACGGUUCCAAUUCCGUAACCUGUUGAGUAUCCGUUUGUUAUUAAAUAUGGGCCUCGUGCUCAUCCUGGCAACAGGAACGACCAUAAAGAAGCCGUCGAGAGAUAUCGGAAGAGUUUUCUUUUCUGUUUUAUAGCCGUACUACCAUGGAAGUCUUUCGCAGAGAGAUAUGGUAGAUGGGCUAGAAGAGCAUGACAUAUACUGUUGUGUCGAUAUUUUCUCCUCGGACCUUGAAAAUUUAUGGUGGGGACACGCAAACUUCUCAACAGGCCGUACCAAUAUCCGCAGCUGGUCUCCAAGGGUGAAGAGUCUCUAGUCGAUAGAAUAAUGUAGGUAAGGGAAGUCGGCAAAUUAGAUACCGUAACUUCGGGAUAAGGAUGGGCUCUGAAGAUUGAGAUAGUCGGGGCUUGAUUGGGGAAACAAUUACAUGGUUUAUGUGCUUCGUUCUGGGUAAUAGAGUAUCUAGCAUUUAUGGUA
rfam:Drosophila sechellia strain Rob3c scaffold_5982 genomic scaffold, whole genome shotgun sequence.